rnacentral:rRNA from 1 species
GGGUUGUGAGGUUAAGCGACUAAGCGUACACGGUGGAUGCCCUGGCAGUCAGAGGCGAUGAAGGACGUGCUAAUCUGCGAUAAGCGCCGGUAAGGUGAUAUGAACCGUUAUAACCGGCGAUUUCCGAAUGGGGAAACCCAGUGUGAUUCGUCACACUAUCAUUAACUGAAUCCAUAGGUUAAUGAGGCGAACCGGGGGAACUGAAACAUCUAAGUACCCCGAGGAAAAGAAAUCAACCGAGAUUCCCCCAGUAGCGGCGAGCGAACGGGGAGGAGCCCAGAGCCUGAAUCAGCAUGUGUGUUAGUGGAAGCGUCUGGAAAGGUGCGCGAUAC